AGCCCAGAGCCUGAAUCAGUGUGUGUGUUAGUGGAAGCGUCUGGAAAGGCGCGCGAUACAGGGUGACAGCCCCGUACACAAAAAUGCACAUGCUGUGAGCUCGAUGAGUAGGGCGGGACACGUGGUAUCCUGUCUGAAUAUGGGGGGACCAUCCUCCAAGGCUAAAUACUCCUGACUGACCGAUAGUGAACCAGUACCGUGAGGGAAAGGCGAAAAGAACCCCGGCGAGGGGAGUGAAAAAGAACCUGAAACCGUGUACGUACAAGCAGUGGGAGCACGCUUAGGCGUGUGACUGCGUACCUUUUGUAUAAUGGGUCAGCGACUUAUAUUCUGUAGCAAGGUUAACCGAAUAGGGGAGCCGAAGGGAAACCGAGUCUUAACUGGGCGUUAAGUUGCAGGGUAUAGACCCGAAACCCGGUGAUCUAGCCAUGGGCAGGUUGAAGGUUGGGUAACACUAACUGGAGGACCGAACCGACUAAUGUUGAAAAAUUAGCGGAUGACUUGUGGCUGGGGGUGAAAGGCCAAUCAAACCGGGAGAUAGCUGGUUCUCCCCGAAAGCUAUUUAGGUAGCGCCUCGUGAAUUCAUCUCCGGGGGUAGAGCACUGUUUCGGCAAGGGGGUCAUCCCGACUUACCAACCCGAUGCAAACUACGAAUACCGGAGAAUGUUAUCACGGGAGACACACGGCGGGUGCUAACGUCCGUCGUGAAGAGGGAAACAACCCAGACCGCCAGCUAAGGUCCCAAAGUCAUGGUUAAGUGGGAAACGAUGUGGGAAGGCCCAGACAGCCAGGAUGUUGGCUUAGAAGCAGCCAUCAUUUAAAGAAAGCGUAAUAGCUCACUGGUCGAGUCGGCCUGCGCGGAAGAUGUAACGGGGCUAAACCAUGCACCGAAGCUGCGGCAGCGACGCUUAUGCGUUGUUGGGUAGGGGAGCGUUCUGUAAGCCUGCGAAGGUGUGCUGUGAGGCAUGCUGGAGGUAUCAGAAGUGCGAAUGCUGACAUAAGUAACGAUAAAGCGGGUGAAAAGCCCGCUCGCCGGAAGACCAAGGGUUCCUGUCCAACGUUAAUCGGGGCAGGGUGAGUCGACCCCUAAGGCGAGGCCGAAAGGCGUAGUCGAUGGGAAACAGGUUAAUAUUCCUGUACUUGGUGUUACUGCGAAGGGGGGACGGAGAAGGCUAUGUUGGCCGGGCGACGGUUGUCCCGGUUUAAGCGUGUAGGCUGGUUUUCCAGGCAAAUCCGGAAAAUCAAGGCUGAGGCGUGAUGACGAGGCACUACGGUGCUGAAGCAACAAAUGCCCUGCUUCCAGGAAAAGCCUCUAAGCAUCAGGUAACAUCAAAUCGUACCCCAAACCGACACAGGUGGUCAGGUAGAGAAUACCAAGGCGCUUGAGAGAACUCGGGUGAAGGAACUAGGCAAAAUGGUGCCGUAACUUCGGGAGAAGG
rnacentral:rRNA from 1 species